rnacentral:ncRNA from 1 species
UCGGGCACUUAUUCCGGCGCCCGGUAAGGCAAUGCGCCCAAGUCCGGC